ACCUGGUUGAUCCUGCCAGUAGUCAUAUGCUUGUCUCAAAGAUUAAGCCAUGCAUGUCCAAGUAUAAACACAUAUACGGUGAAACUGCGAACGGCUCAUUAAAUCAGUUAUCGUUUAUUUGACAUUACCUUACUACAUGGAUACCUGUGGUAAUUCUAGAGCUAAUACAUGCUAAAAACCUCGACUUCGGAAGGGGUGUAUUUAUUAGAUAAAAAACCAAUGCCCUUCGGGGCUCCUUGGUGAAUCAUAAUAACUUAACGAAUCGCAUGGCCUUGCGCCGGCGAUGGUUCAUUCAAAUUUCUGCCCUAUCAACUUUCGAUGGUAGGAUAGUGGCCUACCAUGGUAUCAACGGGUAACGGGGAAUUAGGUUUCGACUCCGG
rnacentral:rRNA from 1 species